rfam:Gossypium raimondii chromosome 8, whole genome shotgun sequence.
UGGCGAUGAUUACAUUUGUUUUAUCCGCGCUUCUGAGAGCAAUCCAUGAAGCAUAUUAACGAUAAAAAUGGUUGAAUUUCUUGAUAUGAGCCG